UACGAAGGGGGGCUAGCGUUGUUCGGAAUCACUGGGCGUAAAGGGCGCGUAGGCGGCUUUAUAAGUCGGGGGGUGAAAGCCUGUGGCUCAACCACAGAAUUGCCUUCGAUACUGUAGAGCUUGAGACCGGAAGAGGUAAGUGGAACUGCGAGUGUAGAGGUGAAAUUCGUAGAUAUUCGCAAGAACACCAGUGGCGAAGGCGGCUUACUGGUCC
rnacentral:rRNA from 1 species